rnacentral:rRNA from 1 species
UACAGAGGGUGCGAGCGUUAAUCGGAAUUACUGGGCGUAAAGGGCGCGUAGGUGGAUAAUUAAAGUCGGAUGUGAAAUCCCCGGGCUUAACCUGGGAAUGGCAUACGAUACGUGGUUAUCUGGAGUUGAGUAGAGGGAAGUGGAAUUUCCGGUGUAGCGGUGAAAUGCGUAGAUAUCGGAAGGAACACCAGUGGCGAAGGCGGCUUCCUGGACUUAAACUGACACUGAGGCGCGGAAAGCGUGGGGAGCAAACAGG